rnacentral:rRNA from 1 species
AAGCGGAGGAAAAGAAACUAACAAGGAUUCCCUUAGUAACUGCGAGUGAAGUGGGAAAAGCUCAAAUUUAAAAUCUGGCAGUCAUUUGGCUGUCCGAGUUGUAAUCUAGAGAAGUGUUGCCCGUGCUGGACCAUGUACAAGUCUCCUGGAAUGGAGCAUCACAGAGGGUGAGAAUCCUGUCUUUGACAUGGACUACCAGUGCUUUUGUGGUAUGCUCUCAAAGAGUCGAGUUGUUUGGGAAUGCAGCUCAAAAUGGGUGGUAAAUGCCAUCUAAAGCUAAAUAUUGGCGAGAGACCGAUAGUGAACAAGUACCGUGAGGGAAAGAUGAAAAGAACUUUGGAAAGAGAGUUAAACAGUACGUGAAAUUGCUGAAAGGGAAACGCUUGAAGUCAGUCACAUUGACUUGAAAUCAGCUCUGCUUUUGCUGGGUGUACUUUCUUGUCAAUGGGUCAGCAUCAAUUUUGAUCAUUGGAUAAAGUCAUUGGGAAUGUAGCAUCUUUAGAUGUGUUAUAGCCUGGUGAUGCAUACAGUGGUUGGGAUUGAGGAACUCAGCACGCCACCAGGCCGGGUUUCGACCACGUUUGUGCUUAGGAUGCUGGCAUAAUGGCUUUAAUUGACCCGUCUUGAAACACGGACCAAGGAGUCUAACAUAUCUGCAAGUGUUUGGGUGGAAAACCCAUGUGCAUAAUGAAAGUGAAAGUUGAGAUCCCUUCUCAAGGGGGGGGAGCAUCGACGCCCGGACCAGACCUUUUGUGACGGAUCCGCGGUAGAGCAUGUAUGUUGGGACCCGAAAGAUGGUGAACUAUGCCUGAAUAGGGUGAAGCCAGAGGAAACUCUGGUGGAGGCUCGUAGCGAUUCUGACGU